rnacentral:lncRNA from 1 species
AGAGCCUACAACUCUGAGACAACCGUAAAUCCCUUUCCCUUUCCUCCUGGUUCUGGAAGGGAUUCUGUAGUUCAAAGGUCUCAGACCUCUCUCUUGCCCUCAAAGCGGGGACCAAAACCAAAUAGUCGAGCCGUUGGUGAGUUAAACUUCAGAUACAAAGAGACGCAUUUGGAUUCAGAUAGCCCUCAGGAAGGAAGAUGUGAUACUGCAGAAGAAAAAUCCCUCUCUGUAUCCUCCUGACCCAAUAGCGGAGACUGAGGCCUCGCUCUCUCUAAGGUUCACAGUAAAGGUGCUAAGCCAGAGAAUGUAAGACAGCAAAUAAAUUAAAUAUUUUUACUGAG